rnacentral:lncRNA from 1 species
AUUAAUUUAUUCAAACAUUUCUGCACGUGUUGUCUUGUUCCGUUUCAAAAUGGAGUAGUAUAGGGCAGCUUAUGGAUUGGGAAAACGUUUCUGUUUUACGUGGAGUUGGAAUGUUUGAGAAACUCACAAGCUGCGAAAGAAUACGAAAUACCUUUCGCCUUGUCUGGACAAUGCAUUUUUUAAGAGGCAAAAUCAAGAUUUCCAAUGUCACUGGAAAGAAUACAUAACUCUUACAUGUGCUCUUUAAAAUACCUCUGUCAUUGCUUUGUGGAUGAUUCAUGAUGAUGGAGCAAGGCGUAAGGAUUGGGAAAAAGCAACUCUUUCAUUGCAACAGUUUCUGGAUGGCUGAUUCAUCUACCUAAAAGAGGCAAACUUGACGACUGUAAAAGAAUGGAGUUAUCUGUGUCAUAGCAAGUGUUUGUGGAUGAUGCCUGAUGAUGAAAGAGGCUACAAAAGAUUGGGAAAAAGCAAUUCUGUUUUAUUGCAACAGAUGGAUCAACUCACAAAAGAGGGAGUGGAAAAAAAAAAUCUUUGAAUAAUGGCAAUGAAAGAUGUAGGCCACAUGCUUUGAGAACUUGUACAAAGAAAUUUGAAGUCUUGUGCUAACAAAGAUUCAAAGACGAAGUUCAUUGGAGUCACCAAAGAGCAAAGCAAGGCAAAGCAGAUUUUAAUAAAAUCACUUUUAGUAGGGAAAGACCGGGUUAAAUGCUGUACUUUUUAAGUGGUCGAGGAACAAGUCUGCAAAAUUGCGUUUUUAAGGUAACAAGAAAAAGGUCGGAAAAAAGCCAAGUCUUUUUACGGCAAAAUUGUCUUGGAUUAAAAAUUUACGCUUGAAAGCGAACGAGGAAUAAAAAAGUGAAAAAAAAACGCUAUUGUAAGUCUUUUGGCGGAAAAUUUUCAUGGUUAAAGAUAUUGCAGUUUCACAAGGGACCAAAAAAAAGUCAAAAAAAAAAUUCUAAGUCUUUUGGCGGGAAAAUGUUUGUAGGUUGAAGACAUUGCGCUUUUAAAAAGGGACCAAAAAA